UCAUGCAUAGAACACUUCUACUCCAACUGUCUGAUCCACACUGUGAGGAACUCAGUGUAAAGCGAUGAAGGCUCUACAGUUAAUGGUCGGGAUCCUGCUGGUGACCGCGCAAGUCACCGUUCAACUGGCAGGGGGGUCUGACUAUCCGAGUGAUGUGGAGAACUAUGAUGCCCCAAAGAUGGUGAAACGAGAGCAUGAUCGGCGGCAGAAUAUUGCACCACCAGGAUUGGAUUUUGCAGAGGGAACUAAUCAAUGAUUCAGAUGUAAAUUCCAUGAAGUCCAAGCUAGCUGGAGUAACCAUGACUUGUCGACAGGACAACAAUCUUUUUGUGAUUAAGUAGCUCUCAUAACCCCUAACCCCUAGCCCACAUAAAUAUACCACACUGCGGUUCUUGUAGCGUCA